GUGCCAGCCGCCGCGGUAAUACGUAGGUGGCAAGCGUUGUCCGGAUUUACUGGGCGUAAAGCGAACGCAGGCGGACUGUUAAGUAGGAAGUGAAAGGUUGGAACUCAACUCUAACACUGCUCCCUAUACUGGCAGUCUUGAGUGACGGAGAGGGAGAUGGAACGACACGUGUAGCGGUGAAAUGCGUUGAUAUGUGUCGGAACACCAAUGGCGAAAGCAAUCUCCUGGACGCAAACUGACGCUGAGGUUCGAAAGCCAAGGUAGCAAACAGGAUUAGAUACCCUGGUAGUCUUGGCCAUAAACGAUGUUCACUAGGUGUUGGGGCUUUGCCUCGGUGCCGCAGCUAACGCAUUAAGUGAACCGCCUGGGAACUACGAUCGCAAGAUUAAAACUCAAAGGAAUUGACGGGGACCCGCACAAGCGGUGGAUGAUGUGGAUUAAUUCGAUGCAACGCGAAAAACCUUACCUACCCUUGACAUGGAUGGAAUUCCGAAGAGAUUUGGAAGUGCUCGCAAGAGAACCAUCACACAGGUGCUGCAUGGCUGUCGUCAGCUCGUGUCGUGAGAUAUUGGGUUAAGUCCCGCAACGAGCGCAACCCUUGUCGUUAGUUGCUACAUUCAGAUGAGCACUCUAAUGAGACUGCCGGUGACAAACCGGAGGAAGGUGGGGAUGACGUCAAGUCCUCAUGGCCCUUACGGGUAGGGCUUCACACGUCAUACAAUGGUACAUACAGAGGGCCGCCAACCCGCGAGGGGGAGCUAAUCCCAGAAAGUGUAUCGUAGUCCGGAUUGCAGUCUGCAACUCGACUGCAUGAAGUUGGAAUCGCUAGUAAUCGCGGAUCAGCAUGUCGCGGUGAAUACGUUCCCGGGUCUUGUACACACCGCCCGUCACACCAUGGGAGCGGGUUUUACCAGAAGUAGGGAGCUUAACCGCAAGGAGGGCGCUUACCACGGUAGGAUUCGUGACUGGGGUGAAGUCGUAACAAGGUAACC
rnacentral:rRNA from 1 species